AAUAGACAAGAUAUGGUCAUCUGGAGCUUCCAUUGCCAUCAAUGAAAAAUUCUAGAAGCUAUUAUUUAAUGAACUAGUUUCAAAUGUAUCAGUUUGCCAUAUGAAGAAACUAUCUUGAAAAGUUACGUGCCCAAGGUUGUGUUUCACAACUGAGAUCCAGUCUUCCCUACCCUGAGAAAUCAUCUGUGAUCAUGAGUUAGGUCCAAUGUUCCUCCUCUGGGCUGUAGACCCUUGAAGGGUAGGAGAUCCCUUACUGAUCUCUCACCUAACACCUGGAAGAGCUCCUGGAACUAGGAAAUGCCUGGCAAUUUGAGUCUUUUAAUACAGGUUGAAGAAAAUUUUUCCCGAAUGAGAUACAGUACUUGCCAAUAACCAGCAUCCAUCCGAGAUCCAAAUCCAGAAAAAUUAUACAACUUAACAUGCAGUCAGGGUAAAGCUUCGAAAAGUGAUAAUGAGAUUCCUCCAAGUUGGACCCGUUUCCAGGUUCUCAGGGAAGGCUGCUUUACCAUGCGGUGCAUCGUUGGCUCACACGGAAGAGUGUACACAGGACAACAUUGGCUGGAAAGAACCGGGCUUGGUAUCAGGAGAUGUGGGGUCAGUCCACUCUCCCCAUCCACGAGCAGGGCGAGAUUAACCUCUCUGUAUUUGUCAUCCUGAACUAGCCCGGAAAAUGAGGCCUAUUGCGCCACUCACAUGGAAUCUGAAAGUUAUAAAAUGCCAUCAAAACACAAGCUAAUGUUAUCAUUUUUUGUCUGUUACUAUUCUGAGAAAAAUCCUAAGAUUCUGGGAGUAAUGAAAAUGAUUUUUCCCCAUGCCAGGCAAUCUAAAACUUAUGCUGGAAAAAAUAUGUUUUGAAAGUAUAAAAGAUAAUACCGAUUACAUUAAUGGUAAAUUUAAGACAUCAUAGUGGAGAAAACUAUCAUUGAUUAUUUGCUGUGUGCCUGACCCUAUGCUUAGAGCUUUAUGUACAUUACCUGCGUUUUCAUCCAAUGAAGUGGAGUGAUAGCCCAGCCCCAUCCUUGCAAAGGGAGUCUCUCUGAGACUGAGUUGCAUAUCUAAGAUCGCAUCAGGGGGUGGGUGGAACAGGUAGGGCCCCCCCCCAGGGUGUCUGCAUCCAGAAACUGCCCAUUUCAGUGAUUCCAGGCCCUGGCACAAAAGACAGAAAGAUAAACAAUGCCAACAGAAGGCAGUGACAACAGGAGAAGCCCUUAUACUGAUCAUGGAAGUGGAAAGUCAGUUAAAACAGAGAAUCAGAAAAAUGAUCCCAUAUAAACUUUAAAUACUUUAAUUUAAAAUACAUAAAUAUGAAUUGUUUAAUAAAGUCAAUGUUUGAAAGUUGCUUAGAAAAGGA